UUAAAUUGAAGAGUUUGAUCAUGGCUCAGAUUGAACGCUGGCGGCAGGCCUAACACAUGCAAGUCGAACGGUAAC
rnacentral:rRNA from 30 species